AACAGAGAAAAGGUUCCCUACUUCUAGGGCCCAGAAAGAAAGAAAGUAAACUUCAGGCAAGUGGAAAGGUGACUGGGAGGAGCUGAGGAAAGCAUUAAUCCACCUUCCUGUGUUGCAGGAAUGAGCUGAGCACAAGAAAUGCUACUAAGACCAUACAAACCUUCUAGCACAAGAACACCUCCCGCCCAGACUCCACAUCUCCAUCUCCUUUUUGUUUAUUUAUUUACUUAUUUUGAAAACUAGCUGAAGUGGCUCCACGUGCUCUUGGAUCAUUGUCUGAAGUGCUCAACAGCCCUGCGAAGUUCAGACUCCUUCCAGAAGGUGAUCGCCACAGAAAAUCAGAAAGGAGGACGUGGAUAACCUUCUAUUUCAAAACAUGGGGCUGAGAUCCUAAGCGAUGAAGCUUAACAUUGCAGUGAAGGGACAAGCUGGUUUCACGGGCAUC